rnacentral:rRNA from 1 species
UACAGAGGGGGCAAGCGUUAUUCGGAAUUAUUGGGCGUAAAGGGCGCGUAGGCGGCCUGGCAAGUGGAAGGUGAAAUCCCUCGGCUUAACCGAGGAACUGCCCUCCAAACUGCUUGGCUUGAGUCCGGGAGAGGUGAGUGGAAUUCCCAGUGUAGCGGUGAAAUGCGUAGAUAUCAAGCGGAACACCAGUGGCGAAGGCGAGUCCCUGGACAACUCCUGACACUGAGGCACGAAAGCUAGGGGAGCAAACAGG